GGCGGCGUGCUUACACAUGCAAGUCGAGUGCGCGUCCUGGUAGCAAUACUGGGAUGGCGCAUGGCGCACGGGUGCGUAACACGUGGGCAAUCUGCCCUCCGAUGGGGAAUAACCCCGCGAAAGCGGGGCUAAUACCGCAUAACAUUCCGGGAACUCCGGUUUCUGGAUUCAAAGCCGUAAGGCGUCGGUGGAGGAGCCCGCGCACGAUUAGCUAGUUGGUAGGGUAACGGCCUACCAAGGCUAUGAUCGUUAGCUGGUCUGAGAGGAUGGCCAGCCACACUGGAACUGAGACACGGUCCAGACUCCUACGGGAGGCAGCAGUGGGGAAUCUUGCGCAAUGGGCGAAAGCCUGACGCAGCGACGCCGCGUGGGGGAUGAAGCUUCUCGGAGUGUAAACCCCUUUCGACUGGGACGAAUACCUCGUAAGAGGGGUGACGGUACCAGUAGAAGAAGCCCCGGCUAACUACGUGCCAGCAGCCGCGGUAAGACGUAGGGGGCCAGCGUUGUUCGGAAUUACUGGGUGUAAAGGGUUCGUANGCGGUGUGGCAAGUCGGGAGUGAAAUUUCUGGGCUUAACUCAGAGACUGCUUUCGAAACUGCUGUGCUUGA
rnacentral:rRNA from 1 species